AAGUAGAGUUUGAUCCUAGCUCAGGAUGAACGCUGGCGGCGUGGAUAAGGCAUGCAAGUCGAACGGACUUGGCGAACGAGGUAGUAAUACAUAGGAACUUCCCCCUAAGUCGUGAACAACUCACCGAAAGGUGAGCUAAUACACGAUAGUCUCUCCGGAGUAAAGUUUUUCGCUUAGGGAAAGGCCUGUGAAGUAUCAGCUAGUUGGCGGUGUAAAGGACCACCAAGGCUAUGACGCUUAGGGGAGCUGAGAGGCUGACCCCCACCGAUGGGACUGAGACACGGCCCAUACACCUACGGGUGGCUGCAGUCGAGAAUCUUCCGCAAUGGACGAAAGUCUGACGGAGCGACGCCGCGUGAUUGAUGAAGCUCUUCGGAGUGUAAAGAUCUUUUAUGAGGGAAGAAGUUUAUUGACGGUACCUCAUGAAUAAGGGGCUCCUAAUCUCGUGCCAGCAGGAGCGGUAAUACGAGAGCCCCGAGCGUUAUCCGGAAUUAUUGGGCGUAAAGGGUGCGUAGGUGGCACUGUUAGUCGUUUGUCAAAUCCUUGGGCUUAACCUAAGAACCGCGAACGAAACGGCAGAGCUAGAGAGUGUGAGGGGUAUAGGGAACUAAUAGUGUAGGGGUGAAAUCCGUUGAUAUUAUUGGGAACACCAAAAGCGAAGGCACUAUACUGGCACAUAUCUGACACUCAAGCACGAAAGCGUGGGUAGCGAAUGGGAUUAGAUACCCCAGUAGUCCACGCCCUAAACGAUGAUCUCUAGUCUUUCGGAGUAUCGACCCUCUGAGAGACGUAGCUAACGCGUUAAGAGAUCCGCCUGGGAAAUACGGCCGCAAGGCUAAAACUCAAAGGAAUAGACGGGGACUUGCACAAGUAGUGGAUUAUGUGGUUUAAUUCGACGAUAAACGAAGAACCUUACCAAGGUUAGAAAUCAACGUGAAAGCCCUGAGAAACCAGGGCCCUCGCAAGACUAGUUGACAGGUGAUGCAUGGCCGUCGUCAGUUCGUGGUUUGAAUUGUUCCCUUAAGUGGGGUAACGAACGCAACCCUCGUCGUGUGUUAUAAGUGUCACACGAGACUGCCCCGACCCAAGCGGAUAAAAGGGAGGAAGGGGAGGAUGACGCCAGGUCAGCAUGUCCCUUGAUACCUUGGGCUACACACAUAAUACAAUCGCAAUUACAACGGGCAGCGACGGGGUAACCCUGAGCGAAUCCUAUAAAAAUUGCGCCAGUUCGGAUUGGGGGCUGCAACUCGACCCCAUGAAGUUGGAAUUACUAGUAAUCGCGGGUCAGACAUACCGCGGUGAAUACGUUCUCAAGUCUUGUACUCACCGCCCGUCAAUUCAAGGGAGCCGGGAAUACUCGAAAUCUCUCCAGAAGGAGGGCCUACAGUAAGCUCGGUGACAGGGAAUAAGUCGUAACAAGGCACGGGUAGCGGAAGCUGUUCGUGGAAUAA
rnacentral:rRNA from 1 species